rnacentral:rRNA from 1 species
UACGUAGGGCGCAAGCGUUGUCCGGAAUUAUUGGGCGUAAAGAGCUUGUAGGCGGUUUGUCGCGUCUGCCGUGAAAGUCCGGGGCUCAACUCCGGAUCUGCGGUGGGUACGGGCAGACUAGAGUGAUGUAGGGGAGACUGGAAUUCCGUGGUGUAGCGGUGAAAUGCGCAGAUAUCAGGAGGAACACCGGUGGCGAAGGCGGGUCUCUGGGCCGUAACUGACGCUGAGGAGCGAAAGCGUGGGGAGCGAACAGG